AGAGUUUGAUCCUGGCUCAGGAUGAACGCUGGCGGCGUGCUUAACACAUGCAAGUCGAACGGGAAUUACUUUAUUGAAACUUCGGUCGAUUUAAUUUAAUUCUAGUGGCGGACGGGUGAGUAACGCGUGGGUAACCUGCCUUAUACAGGGGGAUAACAGUCAGAAAUGGCUGCUAAUACCGCAUAAGCGCACAGAGCUGCAUGGCUCAGUGUGAAAAACUCCGGUGGUAUAAGAUGGACCCGCGUUGGAUUAGCUUGUUGGUGGGGUAACGGCCCACCAAGGCGACGAUCCAUAGCCGGCCUGAGAGGGUGAACGGCCACAUUGGGACUGAGACACGGCCCAGACUCCUACGGGAGGCAGCAGUGGGGAAUAUUGCACAAUGGAGGAAACUCUGAUGCAGCGACGCCGCGUGAGUGAAGAAGUAUUUCGGUAUGUAAAGCUCUAUCAGCAGGGAAGAAAAUGACGGUACCUGACUAAGAAGCACCGGCUAAAUACGUGCCAGCAGCCGCGGUAAUACGUAUGGUGCAAGCGUUAUCCGGAUUUACUGGGUGUAAAGGGAGCGUAGGUGGCAAGGCAAGCCAGAAGUGAAAACCCGGGGCUCAACCGCGGGAUUGCUUUUGGAACUGUCAUGCUAGAGUGCAGGAGGGGUGAGCGGAAUUCCUAGUGUAGCGGUGAAAUGCGUAGAUAUUAGGAGGAACACCGGAGGCGAAGGCGGCUCACUGGACUGUAACUGACACUGAGGCUCGAAAGCGUGGGGAGCAAACAAGGGAUUAGAUACCCUGGUAGUCCACGCGGUAAACGAUGAAUACUAGAUGUCGGGUAGCACAGCUACUCGGUGUCGUCGCAAACGCAAUAAGUAUUCCACCUGGGGAGUACGUUCGCAAGAAUGAAACUCAAAGGAAUUGACGGGGACCCGCACAAGCGGUGGAGCAUGUGGUUUAAUUCGAAGCAACGCGAAGAACCUUACCUGCUCUUGACAUCCCAUUCGAUAGAGGGUAAUGCCUCUAGCCCUUCGGGGGAAUGGAGACAGGUGGUGCAUGGUUGUCGUCAGCUCGUGUCGUGAGAUGUUGGGUUAAGUCCCGCAACGAGCGCAACCCUUAUCUUCAGUUACUAACAGGUCAUGCUGAGGACUCUGGAGAGACUGCCGUCGUAAGAUGUGAGGAAGGUGGGGAUGACGUCAAAUCAGCACGGCCCUUACGUCCGGGGCUACACACGUGUUACAAUGGGGGGUACAGAAGGCCGCUACCUGGUGACAGGAUGCCAAUCCCAAAAACCUCUCUCAGUUCGGAUCGAAGUCUGCAACCCGACUUCGUGAAGCUGGAUUCGCUAGUAAUCGCGCAUCAGCCAUGGCGCGGUGAAUACGUUCCCGGGCCUUGCACUCACCGCCCGUCA
rnacentral:rRNA from 1 species